AAGGAUCAUUAUUGAAUGAACUUGGCGUGGUUGUUGCUGGCCCUCUCGGGGGCAUGUGCACACCCGCCAUCUCCAUCUCUCCACCUGUGCACCUCUUGUAGACUGGAAUAGACUUUCCGAGGCAACUCGGUCGGGAGGAAUGCUGUCGCUUUGCGUCGGCUUUCUUUGCACUUCCAAGCCUAUGUUUUUCAUAUACCCGUAGUAUGUAACAGAAUGUAUCAUUUGGGCCUCAGUGCCUAUAAACCAUAUACAACUUUCAGCAACGGAUCUCUUGGCUCUCGCAUCGAUGAAGAACGCAGCGAAAUGCGAUAAGUAAUGUGAAUUGCAGAAUUCAGUGAAUCAUCGAAUCUUUGAACGCACCUUGCGCUCCUUGGUAUUCCGAGGAGCAUGCCUGUUUGAGUGUCAUUUAAUUCUCAACCUUAUUAGCUUUUGCUGAUAAUGGCUWGGAUGUGGGGGUUCUCUUUUGCUGGCUUCUUUUCACAGAGGUCAGCUCCCCUGAAAUGCAUUAGCUGGUGCCCCGCGUGGACUGUCUAUUUGGUGUGAUAAUUAUCAACGCCGUGGAUGUCUGCAAUUGGUUUUGGCACUGCUUCUAACUGUCUGUUCAUUUGGACAACACAUGACAAUUUGACCU
rnacentral:rRNA from 1 species